UCACGUGGCGGCGGGGGGGGGGGGGACGCGUCUGAGGCGCGGGUGUCGCGCGGGUCUGUGCUGUCGGGGGAAGUGGCUCUGCCAGGCGCUCGGGACCGCACGGUCAGGCAGUGAGCGUGACCGGGGCACGGGGUGUUCCGUGCGAGGCGCCGCGGGACUGCGAGGAGACGGGCGGCGGUCGGGAAACGUGAGUGGAUUUGGGAUGCCCGGCGCCGCCUCCUCCUGUCCCCAGAGGGCUGGCCCAGGCGGCCCUGCUCUGAUGGCGGCGACGUCCCUGGCCGCUCAGGGCAGGGAGGCCUGGGACUGCGGAGCGCGGAGCACCGGCCUCGGUCGUGGAUGAGGAAAAAAAAAAACAAAACAAAACGGAUCUACUUGGACACCCGGCUUGUACUUGCUUCCCGCAGCGGGUGCCCCGGAGGCGAAAUAACUUGCUUAAAAUCGGGCCACUGGUGAGGACCAACGAAGAGGCGGUGCGCAGACGCGAUGUUAAACUGCGCAACUGAUGCAUCCGUCCCCGCGCUGUGGUCGGAAUACCACCGCGUAGCCCUUCCAAUUUUUGCAGUACAGCUCCUUCUGGGUGAUACAUGACUUACCAGAGCCAUCCAUUUGGUUAGUGCCAGAACCCAGGUCUCACUUCAGCCUGACGUCCCGUUCCACAAGCGCUUUCAACAACUGUUGAACACCUGCCUACGUUGGGGACUCUACAGAUGUUUGGUGCCGAGCCAAGCGGCCACUCGUGCCUGCCGUCUGUCCCAGAGAGCAUCCAAGCGGGAGAGAGGAGCAGAGAGAGAGAGAGAGAAUCCCAAGCAGGCUCCACACUCAUCACGGAGCCUUCCACGGGGCUUGGUCUCACGACCCCAAGAUCAUGACCUGAGCUGAAAUCAAGAGCCCGAUGCUCAACCGACCGAGCCGCCCAGGUACUCUUUAAAUCUACAAAUGACCUCUUAAAAUCUAGAAAUGUGCUUGCACUUUUGUCUUUUAUUUUGGGCCAUUUGUCGAAGAGAAUUUGUGCCCUGUCCUGGAGUAUCUUUUAUCUAAAGAAAAAGGGAAAAAAAGGUUAGAACAAACUGGUAGAGAGCAGGCAGUGCCGAAAAGAAUAUCACGUGCUGCUUUCCUCAUCCCAUUCUUCAGUUCCCUAGGAGGGUGACUGAGUAUCGAUAAAAUGAUACCCACAGUCAGGAGGAGGUAGGUGCUAAAGGCAGCAGAGUGAAGAAUUUGGGGUUGUUAUCCCCAGACCACAGAGCAUGGAAUUCUUAAAUGACUGUGCCCCCGAACGCCGUAGUUCUUAGAAGAUACACAUUUCCCCAGACUCGUCUGAGGUCCAGAAAUCCACAGGGUGAUGUGUCUCCAACAGACACUCCCCAAGAGCCUUGUUUCCUCCCAUGCUGCUUCGUGCCUGAACUUGAAGCUACUGGGAGCCCUCCUCCUUUAGUUGUUGGGAAGGCAGAGGCUAUCCAAAGUGAGAGAGGAAAGGGAGAUGAAUAAAAUCCGGAGACGAAGAACGUGAGCUCUGGCAUUAAUUGCCCCUUGAUUCCCGAGCAGGCUGCUUGCCAGCUGGAUGGCCUUGGACAAGCUAUUGAACUCUUGGACAAGAGCUCACUCAGUUUCCUCAUCUGUAAAUUGAAGGAAGUAAUAAUACCUUCAUUAAGUUGUAAGGAUUGAAUGGGAAGGUUUUAAAUUGUUUUUUCUUUUUUUUUUUAAAUGCUUAUUUUACUCUUGAAAGAGAAAGGGUGUAUGGGUGCGAGUGGGGGAGGGGCAGAGGGAGACAAAGGAUCCGAAGCAGGUUCUGCUCUGACAGCAGAGAGCCCAGUGUAGGGAUUGAGCUCAUCGUGAGAUCAUGACUUUUGCGUCAUGGACGCUUAACUGACUGACCCAUCCAGACACCCCUAAAUUAUUUUUUCUAACGGGAUUCUUGUUUUAAAAGAUUUUAGUUACAAAACUAUAGUUUCCUUUUACUAAUCAAAAAUGUACCAUUCAGAGGUUUUGGCUUCCACACCAUAACUAAUGUAAUUCACCGGGUUCUUACGAUUCGAGCUGAAAGCAAAGAACUGUGAUGUUUUAACUCGAGUAGUUUUAUUCUCAGAUUUAUGAUUUCCAGUAGGCUUUUGGAACGUUGCCCAAGGGCCGGAGACUCCCUAUCCCCCUUUAUAGAUUCGAGACUAGAUCUUUCAAUGUCGACACGUUUGGUUUCAUAACAAAAAAAUAUCAAUGAUUAAACUGGGAUUUAGCUGGAUUCUCAAGA